CUUCGGACUGGCUCUGGGCAUUUCGUGUCCCUUUCUUCUCCCACACGUCUUUGUGUCUGUUGUCUGUGUCCCUCUCCUCCUCUCGACCUCGCUGCCUCCCUCCCGCCACGUCUUGCCUCAUCCUGCCGAGCCCCACGACGAGGAGGGUGUUGUGGCGCCCCCAUGAAGGAGGAGGAAGUUGAGGGCGAGGGCCAGGAGAAGGAUGUCGACGAUGAAGAGAUUGAAGUCAUCACUACCGGUGUUGGAGCUGAGGACGAGGAGGACGUCAGUGUCGUUACUGCCGCUGAAGGUGACGACGGGUCCCAGUCCACCGACCAUUUUUUUGUAUUUUGGUCCCUUUUCCGAUUUUUUUACCUUUAGACUCCUGAACGACUUAAUUCUGUUUUUGGACCCAUAUGGCGCCGAGCUAUGCACCCCUCUAGCGUCGAGGGCUGACACAACGCCAUUGUGGCACCUAGCUCGGCGCCACAGAUCUUGACAUCGAGCUAGAAAGGCCUAUAAAUCGGUUGUUUCCUGGCCGAGAGCUGCGCCCAGCCAUUUGAAACCUUCGUUUCAAUCUUCUUCCAUACCGCCCAGAGGUGCUCGUAUCUUCAUAUUCAAGUUGGAAAACUUUAAAUACCAAGAUGAAAGACUUAUAUCGGGAGUCGUUGUGGCAGAAGAGGGGUCGUGCUCGGGAGUUAUAUCCGGUUGUAUCUAGUAAGGAUGCUCUUGUUCCUCCUGAUCUUCCUGUUCCUAAUUGUGACUAUAGCAGACCGGCUUGGGUAUGUCAAUCCAAACAUCCAUACACGACUGCUCGCGGCUUCUACACUUGUGGCGGUUUUAAUGAUCACUUUGAGGUGAUUUUUUAGUGUAUUGACGGCCCUGAUAAAUUUGACCCUCGAUAUCUCCUUUUCGCUGAUUGGUUGUGCAUAAGGAAUACACAUGAGCGUUUUAAGCGUUGGGUGCCUCCUCCCCCGAACCCGCCACCAAUGACGGAUGAGGAGAAGAACUUAGCCACAGAAAGAUGACUGUCGCCUCGGUGCGAUUGUGGAGAUCGUGAUGUCUUAUGUGAGGACAAUGUGAAGUACUUUGUGUGUCCUAACAGUAAUUAUGUGAGUGCAUAACAAAUGUCCAAAAUUUUGUUAUUUUUUGCACAAAUUUACUAAGUUAUUCUCAUGUAGCCAUACAGUGGGCAUAUGUGUAAUUUUAGAGAGUGGUUGUAUGGUCCUAGGUUGAAGCGUCCCAAUCCUCUAGGACUCAAAUAUGAUUCAAAUACUAGUCGCGGAAGGCUAGUAUACACAUUUAUACAA